AUACGUAGGGUGCAAGCGUUAAUCGGAAUUACCGGGCGUAAAGCGUGCGCAGGCGGUUUUGUAAGACAGUGGUGAAAUCCCCGGGCUCAACCUGGGAACUGCCAUUGUGACUGCAAGGCUGGAGUGCGGCAGAGGGGGAUGGAAUUCCGCGUGUAGCAGUGAAAUGCGUAGAUAUGCGGAGGAACACCGAUGGCGAAGGCAAUCCCCUGGGCCUGCACUGACGCUCAUGCACGAAAGCGUGGGGAGCAAACAGGAUUAGAUACCCUGGUAGUCCACGCCCUAAACGAUGUCAACUGGUUGUUGGGGAUUUAUUUUCUCAGUAACGAAGCUAACGCGUGAAGUUGACCGCCUGGGGAGUACGGCCGCAAGGUUAAAACUCAAAUGAAUUGGCGGGG
rnacentral:rRNA from 1 species